CAGUCGCCGCGGGAAUACGGAGGGUGCAAGCGUUAUCCGGAUUUAUUGGGUUUAAAGGGUCCGUAGGCGGAUCUGUAAGUCAGUGGUGAAAUCUCACAGCUUAACUGUGAAACUGCCAUUGAUACUGCAGGUCUUGAGUAAAUUUGAAGUGGCUGGAAUAAGUAGUGUAGCGGUGAAAUGCAUAGAUAUUACUUAGAACACCAAUUGCGAAGGCAGGUCACUAAGAUUUAACUGACGCUGAUGGACGAAAGCGUGGGGAGCGAACAGGAUUAGAUACCCCCGUAGUCCCUGUCUCUAUACA
rnacentral:rRNA from 1 species